rnacentral:rRNA from 1 species
AGUGAACGCUGGCGGUGGGCCUAACACAUGCAAGUCGAACGGCAGCACAGUAAGAGCUUGCUCUUACGGGUGGCGAGUGGCGGACGGGUGAGGAAUACAUCGGAAUCUACUUUUUCGUGGGGGAUAACGUAGGGAAACUUACGCUAAUACCGCAUACGACCUACGGGUGAAAGCAGGGGAUCUUCGGACCUUGCGCGAUUGAAUGAGCCGAUGUCGGAUUAGCUAGUUGGCGGGGUAAAGGCCCACCAAGGCGACGAUCCGUAGCUGGUCUGAGAGGAUGAUCAGCCACACUGGAACUGAGACACGGUCCAGACUCCUACGGGAGGCAGCAGUGGGGAAUAUUGGACAAUGGGCGCAAGCCUGAUCCAGCCAUACCGCGUGGGUGAAGAAGGCCUUCGGGUUGUAAAGCCCUUUCGUUGGGAAAGAAAAGCAGCAGGUUAAUACCCCGCUGUUCUGACGGUACCCAAAGAAUAAGCACCGGCUAACUUCGUG